GCCCGCUUGGCUCAGUGGUAGAGCGUAUCACUAGUAUUACACGCUAUGAUAAGGUCGUCAGUUCAAUUCUGACAGUGGGCA